CUUCUUCUCUCUUAUUUCCAAAUUUCUAUCACUGGAUUUUUUCAAAGUUUAUUCAUUUGUAGAAUUCUUGCCAAGGUUGUCCGUUUGUCUAAUUCGUCUCUGGUAUAAGCUCUCAGUUGUGGUAUUCUAGAACAGAGUCCUCUGGAAGGUACAUUAUUUACUUCUACUCAGUUGUAUCAGUAAACAAUACAUGUGGUAUUUAUCACUGUGCUUAUCAAUCUUUCUAUGAGGUUGAUAUAGUCAGAGGAGAACUGAAAACCAGCAUUUACAGAGAGGGGAGCUUGAACUUGAAUUUCAUGCCACCAAGAAACAAAUGAACAAUGUAAAGAGCAGUGAUGCUGAUUGGAAAAGUUUUUAACAACUUUACAAUGUGACAUGAAUUCUCAAAUAUAAGACCCAUUUAGGUUUCUAAUUAUUUCAAUACCUAUGUGUACAUGCAUCUAGAGGGAAAAGGGAAAAGUCUUCAAGAAGCGAGUGAGCGAAUACAAUGAUCUAUUAUUACACCUCAAUGAUAUAGAUGGAGAAUCUUGAUCACAAGAAGAGGAUCCUUAUCAAAAAUCAUUAGAAGAGUGUCAUCGAAAUAAAGAAGUUGUCCAGUCAGAAAAACCUCCAACAUCAUUAUAAUUUAAGGAAGAGAAUAAUUUAUUGAAAAAUUAGAAUUAUGACCUUGUUAAGCUGCAUAAACUGAAGCAAUUCAUUGGAGAGUCAGGGAAGACCUGGCUUACUUCCGUCAAACUAAUCCUCUAUAUAUAUUAAUAGAGCUAAUAUUGGAGAACAAGUUGAAGGUUAGUUCUUUUUAGAAUUUAAUUGUCUAGGAGGAAUUUCAAUGUGACUUUGGGACAUGAUUCAAAUGUUUCAUAUUUGUUGAUACAUUUAACCGUGCACUUUUAGUUAAUUGCAGUUCAUUUUAUCAAAAGUCACAUCAUGUGGUACUACAGAAGAAAGCUGGUUCUUCUUUCCUAUCACGCACCAGAGAGGAAGUGAAGCAAUUGCUACUUAGCUUGAGGGCAAAUGAUGUUGGCGUUGUAAUUUGAGAAUGGAACAUUUAGGAAAUACUUUGUGAUCUCAAAACUUACCAGAAUGUUAAACUAGAAAUGUUUGAAGUAUCUUAUAUGAUCGAAUAAUUGAGUUAGUUGCUUAUCCAUUCUCAAAGUUCAUUUA